GUGCUUGCUUCAGCAGCACAUAUACUGUACUAUACAGAGUAUAAUAGAGAUUAGCAUAUCCUCUACACGAGGAUAACAUGCAAAUUUAUGAAGAGUUCCAUAUUUUU
ensembl:snRNA U6 U6 spliceosomal RNA